rnacentral:rRNA from 1 species
AUGGACGAGAUCAACCUGCUACGGCAGCACCAGCGACACCAGCAGCACCACCUGUCGGUGCGCGGCAUCGGUGAGGAGAUCGACCUCGAGAUCGACCAGUGUGAAGAUCCCACUUUCUCGGGCGCCGCACUCGAGGGCGUGACCUCCCAUCACCCUCAAGACCCCGUCGUCCCUGCCGAUGACCACAAGAGCUUCCUCAUCCCGUGCUCGCAGCCUGGCUCAGUGGACGGCCAACCGCAGCCCACGCCACCGCAAGCAGAGGAACGGGCAGGGAUGCUGAGGCUGUCGGCGCAUACCAAGAAGAAGAAGAAGGUGGUCAAGAAAUGGAGGGAUGAGUGGGCGGACACAUACAAGUGGGCCUAUGUGGCCGUGCACGACAACACCAGCAGAAUCUUCUGCACCGUCUGCAAGGAGUAUGGCCGCAAGCAUCGCCGGAACCCCUAUGGGAACGAGGGGAGCAGGAACAUGCAGAUGAGUGCGCUAGAGGAGCACAACAAUAGCUUGCUGCAUAGGGAGGCGCUCCGGCUGCAGUCAGCCUCCAAGGAGAAGGUGCAAACUCCUGAGAUAGAGAGGCUGGUUUAUGUCAAAGCUUUGUCGAAAACAGCAGCUUCAAUACUUGAAUCUCUCUUCAAGAAGGACCCUUAUGAAGCUGAAUUUAUACAGUCUAUACAGGAGGUGGUUCAUUCUAUAGAACCAGUUUUGGUGAAGAACUCACAAUAUGUUCAGAUAUUGGAGCGUUUAUUAGAACCUGAGAGAUGUUUUAUCUUCAGAGUGCCAUGGGUUGAUGACAGAGGUGAAGCUCAUGUGAAUCGUGGUUUCCGUGUGCAGUUCAGUCAGGCUUUAGGUCCAUGCAGAGGUGGUCUCCGUUUCCACCCGUCCAUGAACUUAAGUGUGGCAAAGUUUCUAGCUUUUGAGCAGACUCUGAAGAAUGCUCUGUCACUAUAUAAACUUGGAGGUGCUGCUGGAGGGAGCGAUUUUGAUCCAAAGGGUAAAAGUGAAAUUGAGGUAAUGCGCUUUUGUCAAAGUUUCAUGGAUGAGCUGUAUAGAUACUUGGGCCCUGAUCAGGAUUUUCCUGCUGAAGAUGUUGGUGUUGGUCCAAGGGAAAUGGGUUUCCUUUUUGGGCAGUACAGACGCCUUUCUGGUCAUUUUCAGGGAAAUUUUACAGGGCCUAAGAUCUUCUGGUCUGGUUCUAGUUUUAGAACAGAGGCUACUGGAUACGGGCUGGUAUUUUUUGCACGUGUUGUACUUGCUGAUAUGAAUAAGGAGCUCAAAGGAUUAAGAUGCGCGAUAAGUGGUUCAGGAAAGAUAGCAAUGCAUGUCUUGGAAAAGCUUCUGUCGUGUGAAGCUAUUCCUGUUACAGUCUCAGAUUCAGAAGGCUAUCUAUUUGAUGGAGACGGGUUUGAUUAUGUGAAAUAUACACUUAUAAGGAAUAUUAAGGCACAACAAAGGAGCCUCAAGGAAUACUUGAAAACAUUUCCACGUGCCAAAUAUAUCAAUGAUGCUAAGCCAUGGGGUGAGCAGUGUGAUAUUGCAUUCCCUUGUGCAUCACAAAAUGAGAUUGACCAGGGGGAGGCUCUUUCAAUAAUUAGCUCUGGUUGCCGUGUUCUUAUAGAAUGUUCAAACAUGCCAUGCACUGGUCAAGCAGUUGAUAUCCUAAGAAAGGCAAAAGUCCAUGUUGCUCCAGCAAAGGCAACUGCUGCUGGUGGGGUAGCAGUUGGUGAACUUGAACUGAAUCCAGAGUUCAGCUUAAUGCAGUGGUCAGUAGAGGAUUUCGAGAACAAAAUACAGGAAGCAGUAAAGCAAACAUAUGACAGGUCGAUGAAAGCUGCUCAAGAAUAUGGAAUCCUGAAAGAGAACCCAGAGUCUUUGGUGCAUGGUGCAAACAUAUCGGCCUUCCUGAACAUUGCACAAGCCAUGACUGAUCAAGGAUGUGUGUAG